rnacentral:rRNA from 1 species
UGGGGAAUCUUCCGCAAAUGGGGCGCAAGCCUGACGGAGCAACGCCGCGUGAGUGAAGAAGGGUUUCGACUCGUAAAGCUCUGUUGUCGGGGACGAAUGUACGAACUAUCAACAACGGUUCGUAAUGACGGUACCUGACGAGGAAGCCACGGCUAACUACGUGCCAGCAGCCGCGGUAAUACGUAGGUGGCGAGCGUUGUCCGGAAUUAUUGGGCGUAAAGGGAGCGCAGGCGGGAGGCCAAGUCCAUCCUAAAAGUUCGGGGCUCAACCCCGUGAGGGGGAUGGAAACUGGUCUUCUUGAGUGCAGGAGAGGAAAGCGGAAUUCCUAGUGUAGCGGUGAAAUGCGUAGAUAUUAGGAGGAACACCAGUGGCGAAGGCGGCUUUCUGGACUGUAAC